ACGGAGGAACCGAAAAUCCGAAUAUUGAAGAGAGUAGGAA
rfam:Bacteroides sp. CAG:443 genomic scaffold, scf143